UUAAUAUUCCCUCCGUUUCAAAAUUCUUGUCUUAAAUUUGUCUAGAUAUGGAUGUACCUAACACUAAAACGUAACUAGAUACAUCCGUAUUUAGGCAUCUAAGACAAGAAUUUUGGGACGGAGGGAGUACAUC
rfam:Triticum aestivum genome assembly, contig: Triticum_aestivum_CS42_TGACv1_scaffold_361618_4DS